GUCAGAGGCCAGAGGGGCCGGGGCCCAGCAGCUGGGGCUUGGUAAGCUCUGGAGCCUGGGCUCCAGGCCAGCUCGCUGCCAACCUCCACCUGAGACCACCCCACCCCCAACCCCCUUCCUUCUCUCCCCUGCUGCCGAGGCGCGCCCUUCCGGAGUGAAACUUUGGUUUCUCACGACCCGGAAGGCUUGAAGCAAACCUGCAAUUACUCACUGCCUGGUCUGUGCGGGCUGCAGCUCUCAGACUCAGGAUGAGGUGGCGAUAUGGGGUCUUGCUAUGUUGCUGAGGCUGGUCUCCAAUUCCUGAUUUCAAGUGAGCCUCCUGCCUCUGCCUCCCAAAGUACUGUGAUGAGCUACUACGCCUGGUCAUUGUCCCUCUUUCUCAUGACUCUCUGGACAUCCCUGGGGUGGAGGGUGGGGCAGGCACACACAUCCCUCAACUUCCCAGUGGUUCCACGAUGACUAAGCCAGCCCUGUCCCUGAGGCUGGGAGUCUGGAGCUAGGAUCCACCCCCAUGGCCUCAUAUCCCAACCUUGAGCCUGGGUUUCUGGUCAGACUGGACGGGCUAGCUCGGUCUCCUUAACUCUCAGAGUUGCCUUGUCCAGGCCCAGCGGGUCCCACACAGCCAGGCACACCCCACCCCACAGGGCUCCUGGGAAAUUCUCUGCCCCACCCUCAGGCUGCCUCAGACAGACUGAGGUUACCUGUGAUUGUCCCAGAUAACCCGAGUGAGCCCAUCCUCUGCUCUGGGUGGCUCCCUCCCUGGCAGCUGACCUGUAAAUUUUGAAAAGAUGGGGACAAUGCUCAGCUAGGAGGGAUGCUCCUGCUGUCUUCCCUGCUGGCCUGGCCACUCCCCAGACUGGACAGGUCCCUUGGCAGCUCUUCCCAGCAACCCAGGCAGCCCCAAGCCCCCUCUUGCUUGGUGUUCCAGGCCAGUGAGAAUCUCACUUCUUCUCCAAAACUUUGUCUUCCAACUCCUGUUUUGUUGUGUUUUGUUUUUUUAUUGAAACAGGGUCUCAUUCUGUUACCCAGGCUGGAGCUCAUGGCAUGAUCAUAGCUCACUGCAGCCUCAAACUCCUAGGCUCAAGCAAUUCUUCCCACCUCACCCUCCUGAGUAGCAGGGACUACAGAUGUGGGCCACCAUGGUCAGCUAAUUUAAAAAGUUUUUUUCUUAGGCCAGGCAUGGUGGCUCACGCCUGUAAUCCCAGCACUUUGGGAGGCCGAGGCAGGUGGAUAACAAGGUCAGGAGUUCGAGACCAGCCUGGCCAACCUGGUGAAACCCCUGUCUCUACUAAAAAUACAAAAAUUAGCCGGGCGUGGUGACAGGCACCUGUAGUCCCAGCUGCUUGGGAGGCUGAGGCAGAGAAUUGCUUGAACCCGGGAGAUGGAGGUUGCAGUGAGCUGAGAACACUCCACUGCACUUUAGCCUGGGCGACAGAGUGAGACUCUGUCUCAAGAAAAAAAAAAUUAUAUAUAUAUAAAUUAGCCAGGCAUGAUGGUGAGUGCCUGUAAUUCCAGCUCCUUGGGAGGCUGAGGUGGGAGAAUCACUUGAACCUGGGAGGCAGAGAUUGCAGUGAGCCAAGAUUGCUCCACUGCACACCAGCCUAGGUAAUAGAGUGAAACUCCAUCUCAAAAAAGAAUUUUUUUUUUUCAGAGAUGGGGAUCUCUCUGUGUUGCCCAGGCUGGCCUCAAGCAAUCCUCCUGCCUCAGCCUCCCAAAGUGUUGGGAUGACAGGCAUGAGCCACUGCGCCCGGCCUGUGGUUUCUCCAUGUGGGGCCAGAUCACUCUUUGUGCAGGGAGCUACCCUGUGCAUCUUUGAUGUUGAGUAGUAGCCCUGGCCUCAACCCUGUGCCAAUGAAAGAUGUCUCCAGAUGUUGCCAAAUGUUGGGGUGGGGUGGGGCGCAGCCUUGCCGCCUGCUUCACCUGUUCUACCUGUCCAUACUCAUACCAACCUGCAAAGUAACUUAGACCGUGUGUUUUCUUUUUCUUUUUUUUUUUCUGAGAUGAGGUCUUGCUUUCUCCCAGGCUAAAGUGCAGUGGCACGAUCUCAGCUCACUACAACCUCUGCCUCCCAGGUUCAAGCGAUUCUCCUGCCUCAGCCUCUCGAGUAGCUGGGAUUACAGGCACCCGCCACCAUGCGCAGCUAAUUUUUUUAUUUUGAGUAGAGAUGGGAUUUCACCAUGUUGGCCAGGCUGGCGGCUCGAACUCCUGACCUGACCUCAGGUGAUCCACCCGUCUCGGCCUCCCAAAGUGCUGGAUUACAGGUGUGAGCCACCGUGCCCAGCUGGAGCAUAUGUGUUCUUUUUUUUUCUUUCUUUCUUUCUUUCUUUUUCUUUUUUUUUUUGAGACGGAGUCUUGCUCUGUCACCCAGGCUGGAGUACAGUGGCGCCAUCUCGGCUCACUGCAAGCUCCGCCUCCUGGGUUCAUGCCAUUCUCCUGCCUCAGCCUCCCAAGUAGCUGGGACUACAUACAGGUGCCCGCCACCACACCCGGCUAAUUUUUUUGUAUUUUUAGUAGAGACAGGGUUUCACCAUGUUAGCCAGGAUGGUCUCGAUCUCUUGACCUCUAGAUCUGCCCGCCUCGGCCUCCAAAAGUGCUGGGAUUACAGGCAUGAGCCACUGCGCCUGGCCAGGAGCAUGUGUUUUCUCAUCUUGGGCCUGGAUCGAGUCCUUAUGGUGGAGGUGAUCUGCGGGUUCCAGAAUCUUGGGAAGGGAUUGGUGAGACCAUAGCAUGGCCCAUUGCACCGUCCCUCUACCUGGAGUGAGGGGUGCCAGCCUCCCAUUUCCUGGUGGGUGGGCUUGCUGGAUGGCAGCCUGAGGUGGGUGGAGUCAGGCUGCCUUGUUCUAUUUCCUGGUUCCCAGGGUUGGGUGGUGGCAAUGGUGGCCCCGGAGCCAGAGGGCUUGGGGUACCCUGAUCCUGCCUCCGGAUUUACUGGGUGGGUGCUAGGGUGUGUGCUCCAAGACCGAUGGCCCCUGUGGGCGUGGAGGAGAAACCAGAGACUCAAGCAGAUCUCCCUGCCUGCCUUCUGCCCUCAUGUCCCACUUCACCUUGGCUCUAGGCCAGGGGCUGCCAGAAUGGUGACUCAGAGCGACUGAGAAGAGGAGAGAAACAGAAUGGAGGUCCUUAUCAUCCUCCAAUCUCCGCCAUCCCAGCAUCCCCAUAAAGGUCAGGACCCUUGAGGCCACAUGUCAAGACCAUCCACACUGCCCUCUCCUGCUUCCUCCUCCUCUACCCGCCCUCUUUCAGUGGGAUUUUUUUUUCCGGGUACCACGCUAGGGCAGGAAGGCAGAAGUGAGCAUGGGGCGUGGAACGUCUCUGAGGUUGGAAUAUAUUUAGGCCAGGAGAAGAGUGUGUGUGUGGUGCUGGCCAGGCCCUGGCGCCGGCUCGGCGGGCUUGAGGAGUGAUGGUGGGGGGCCCUGAGCCAGUGUGGGGAUGCUCCUGCCUUCUCCCUUUUUUUUUUUUUUUUUUUUUGGUUUUGAGAUGUAGUCUCGCUCUGUUGCCCAGGCUGGAGUGCAGUGGUGCGGUCUUGGCUCACUGCAACCUCUGCCUCUUUGGUUCAAGUGAUUCUCUUGCCUCAGCCUCUGGAGUAGCUGAGAUUACAGGCAUCUGCCACCACGCCCGGCUAAUUUUUUCUAUUUUUAGUAGAGAUGAGGUUUCACCAUGUUGGCCAGGCUGGUCUCCAACUCCUGACCUCAUGAUCCGCCUGCCUCGGCCUCCCAAAGUGCUGCGAUUAUAGGUGUGAGCCACCGUGCCUGGCCACCUUCUCCCUUUUAAAGACAGCCUGUCAGCUUUGGGGAGGAGGAGUGGGAAUCACUAGGCCCCCACCAAGGCUGAGGCAGGCCCUGUGUGGGCCAGAUACAUUUAGCAUCUUCAAAACAAACCAGCAAGACUAACAUCAGGAUCACUUACAGCUGUAAACACAAGGCCCAGAGAGGUUAAGUGGCUUUCCCAAGGCUGUUCAGGAAAGAGGUGAUGAUGGAAGGGUUCUCUUGCUGGCCCGGCUGGCUGCCACCAUUCAUGCACGCAGUGUUCAUUCAUGCAACACCUUUGUGGGUACAGCCUAGCCUGUGCCAGCCCCCAACAACGUGCGGGAGAACAAGAAGCCAACUGGACCCAGGUCGGCAAACCGCAGCCCAUAGGUGGCAUUCGUCUGUUGUCUCUGCACGGCCCUUGGGCUAAGAAUGGUUUUUACAUUUUUAAGUGGUUGAAAACAAAAGAAUAAGAGUAUUCCAUGAUACAUAACAAUUAUAUGAAAUUGCAAUUCCAGCCUUCAUGAAUUCAGGGUACACAGGUUACACCCAUUUGAGUCCACAUUGUCUGUGGUUGCCUUUUCGUGACUGUGGCAGAGUGGAGCUGUUUUGACAGAGACCCUGCAAAGCUAAACAACUUUCCUAUUUGUCCCCUCCUCCCCUGUCCCCCUCACACUUUUUUUUGACAGAGUUUUGCUCUUGUUGCCCAGGCCGGAGUGCAACAGCGCAAUCUUGGGUCACUGCAACCUCCACCUCGUUGGUUCAAGCGAUUCUCCUGCCUCAGCCUCCUGAGUAGCUGAGAUUACAGGCGCCUGCAACUAUGCCCGGCUAAUUUUUAUAUUUUAAGUAGAGACAGGAUUUCACCAUGUUGGCCAGGCUGGACCGGAACUCUGACCUGAGGUAAUUCAGCCGCCUCGGCCUCCCAAAGUGCUAGGAUUACAGGCGUGAGCCACCACACCUGGCUUUUUUUUUCUCUCUCUCUCUUUUUUGAGAUGGUGUCUCACUCUGUCGCCCAGGCUGGAGUGCAGUGGCGUGAUUUCGGCUCACUGCAACCUCUGCCUCCCGGGUUCAAGCGAUUCUCCUGCCUCAGCCUCCUGCAACCUCUGCCUCCCGGGUUCAAGCGAUUCUCCUGCCUCAGCCUCCUGAGUAGCUGGAAUUACAGGCGCGUGCCACCAUGUCUGGCUAAUUUUUUGUAUUUUUAGUAGAGACGAGGUUUCGCCAUGUUGGUCAGGCUGGUCUGGAACUCCUGACCUCAAGUGAUCAGCCCGUUUUGGCUUCCCAAAGUGCUGGAAUUACAGGCCAGAGCCACCACGCCUGGCCAUGCCCGGCUAAUUUUUUUGUUUGUUUGUUUGAGGUAGAGUUUCACUCUUGUUGCCCAGGCUGGAGUGCAGUGGCAUGAUCUCGGCUCACUGCAACCUCCACCUCCCAGGUUCAAGUGAUUCUCCUGCCUCAGUCUCCCUAGUAGCUGGGAUUACAGGCGUCCGCCACCACGCCCGGCUAAUUUUUUUGUAUUUUUAGUAGAGACGGGGGUUCACUAUAUUGGCCAGGCUGGUCGGCAACUCCUGACCACAGGUGAUCCACCCGCCUCAGCCUCCCAAAGUGCUGGGAUUACAGGCGUGAGCCACCUUGCCCAGCCGGAGCAUGUGUUUUCUUUCCUUUUUUUUUUUUUUUAAGAGACGGAGUCUUGCUCUGUCACCCAGGCUGGAGUGCGGUGGUGGGAUCUCGGCUCACUGCAACCUCUGCCUCCUGGGUUCAAGCAAUUCUCCUCCCUCAGCCUUGUGAGUAGCUGGGAUUACAGACGUGCACCACUAUGCCCGGCUAAUUUUUUUUGUUUUUUGUAUUUUAGUAGAUACGGGGUUUCACCGUAUUGCCCAGGGUAGUCUUGAACUCCUGAACUCAGGCAAUCCUCCCGCCUCAGCCUCCCAAAGUGCUAGGAUUACAGGUGUGAGCCAUCACGCCUGGCAUAAAAUAAUAAUAAUAAUAAUAAUAAUAAUAAUAAUAAUAAUAAUAAAAUUGGCUGGGCUUGAUGGCUCAUUCCUGUAAUCCCAGCACUUUGGGAGGUUGAGGCAGGCGGAUCAUGAGGUCAGGAGUUUGAGACCAGCCUGGCUAACAUGGUGAAACCUCAUCUCUACUAAAAAUACAAAAAUUAGCCAGGCAUGGUGGUGGGCACCUGUUAAUUCCAGCUACUGGGGAGGCUGAGGCAGGAGAAUCGCUUGAACCCGAGGGCUGGAGGUUGCAGUGAUCUGAGAUCGCACCACUGCACUCCAGCCUCAGCGACAGAGCAAGACUCUGUGUCAACAUUGUUUUUUUUAGGCCAGGGGCAGUACCUAUUUCCAGCACUUUGGGAGGCCCAGGCAUGAGGAUCGCUUGAGCCCAGGAAUUUGAGACCAGCCAGGGCAACAUGGAGAAACCCUGUCUCUAGAAAAUAUACAAAAAAUUAGCUGGGUGUGGUGGCAUGUGCCUGUGGUCCCAGCUACUUGGGAGGCUGAGGUGGGAGGAUAUGCCAAGUCCAGGAGGUCAAGGCUGCAGUGAGCUGUGAUCACACCACUGCACUCCAGCCUGGGUGACAGAAGAAGACCUUGCCUCAAAAAAAAAAAAAAAGUUUUUUAUUAUUAUUUUUUUUUCUUUUUGAGACAGAGUCUCGCUCUGUCGCCCAGGCUGGAGGGCAGUGGCACAAUCUCAGCUCAGUGCAAGCUCCGCCUCCCAGGUUCACACCAUUCUCCUGCCUCAGCCUCCUGAGUAGCUGGGACUACAGGCGCCCGCCACCACGCCUAGCUAAUUUUUUUGUAUUUUUGGUACAGACAGGGUUUCACCGUGUUAGCCAGAAUGGUCUCAAUCUCUUUUCACCUUGUGAUCCGUCCGCCUUGGCCUCCCAAACUGCUGAGAUUACAGGCAUGAGCCACCAUGCCCAGCCUUAAUUUUUAAAGAUAGGGGUCUCACUAUGUUGCCCGUUUAUCUGAGCUCAAGCGGUCCUCCAGUGUUAGCCUCCCAAGUAGCUGGACUCAGGUUUUUAUUUUAACAAUGUAAGACUAUAUUAUCCUUAUAAGAAUACUUUAAAAAAAAUGGAUAAUCCUCCCAGACUCCCUGAUAUGGGAGUUGAAGGGGCAGAUGUGGGGCGGAGGGAGAGGGGAGCUGGUGUUGGAACCAGGCUGGUUUGCUAAAUCCAGCCUGCCACCUGUUUCUGCACAGCCUGCGAGUUAAGAAUGGCUUUUUCAUUUUUAAAUGGUUGGGAAAAAAGAAUCAAAAGGGAAAUUUCACGACAUGGGGAAAAGUAUAUGCAAUUCAAAUUUUAGUGUCCAUAAAUAAAGUUUUAUUGGCAUGGA
rnacentral:lncRNA from 1 species